UACGAAGGGGGCUAGCGUUGUUCGGAAUUACUGGGCGUAAAGCGCACGUAGGCGGAUACUUAAGUCAGGGGUGAAAUCCCCGGGGCUCAACCCCGGAACUGCCUUUGAUACUGGGUAUCUCGAGUCCGGAAGAGGUGAGUGGAAUUCCGAGUGUAGAGGUGAAAUUCGUAGAUAUUCGGAGGAACACCAGUGGCGAAGGCGGCUCACUGGUCCGGUACUGACGCUGAGGUGCGAAAGCGUGGGGAGCAAACAGG
rnacentral:rRNA from 1 species